UUGAAUAAACUUGGUUAGGUUGCUGCUGGUCCUUAGGGGCAUGUGCACGCCGACUCCAUUUUUAACCACCUGUGCACCUUGCGUAGAUCUGAUAAUCUCGAGGAAACUCGGUUUGAGAAUUGCUGUGCAAACAGCUCUUCUUGUAAUCAGGUCUAUGUUUCUAUAUACCCCAAAUGAAUGUAUUUUGAAUGUCGUAACUGGCCUUUGUGCCUUUAAAAACAAAUA
rnacentral:misc_RNA from 1 species